rnacentral:pre_miRNA from 1 species
AAUAACCUCAAUUUUCGUUUUUCCGUGUCCAACGUUUGAUCAUUCGUCUUAUUUGAAAAAUUUAUAAAAAACUUAAAAAAAUUAGUCACGUAUAAAGUACUAUUCAUAUUUUAUCAUCUAGUAACAAUAAAAAUAUUAAUCGCAAAAAAAUUUCAAAUAAGAUGAAUGAUCAAACGUUGGACACAAAAAAACGAAAAAUGAGGUUAUU